UUGUAGCAAAGUGGGCUUUGACGUUCCUUUUUCAUUUGCGGUGCGUGCGUCAUCACGUCACACCGACCUAUCAGCUGAUCUCACAGCUGAUUUCAUUCCAGCUGAGACGCCGGCUUUUCACAAGCUAGGAGGAAUAGCUGUCGGUCAACGUGCUUUCCUUUGUCCAUCCAAACGUGCAUUCUGGUCUACUCCUUGCACUCCGAUCUGUUGCCAAAUUCAACUUGGCGUGACACGCUCUCCGCCUCGUACAAGUGUAUCUACCGGUGCCAUCAGCUGUUUGUUGGCUACCCUGUUCAUCUACCAAAGCUCCGAGAGCUCUCUCCUUCUGGCUCAGGUAGGCCACCCAAAUGACGCCACACGUUCGCAAAAGUUUUGAUUUGUUUGACUCGGGUCUAACCGAUGAUGUAUUUUGUUGUAGCGUGGGUUUGAGUUUCCUCUGACUCGUCGGCCUUUAUUGUCUCCCUCCUCGCCUCCUCUGCUGUUGUGGAACGCGCCUGGGUGUAGCUGCAGACUCCCGGUUCGCUCUGAAUUGCUGCUGUUUUGUCCCCCCUCAAUACGUGCUUCGGACUGACGCGUCGCAGUGUCCGGUCAUCCGAGGGCUAUUACUCCGAAAGCAUUCAGCAGCCCAGCAUAAGUUACCUUGCGCAGGUGGCGCAUGUGGCCGAGUUCAGUGUGUGCGUGAAUGUAGUCUGUGUGCAGGUAAUCCCAGAGGGAGGUCCUCUUCCCCCCUGGUGGUGGGUCCGGUCACGUGGUGUGCAGUGAAUUGCAGUGCAGUGCAGUGUUACCUGUGUGUGAGUGCAAUAAUUCACCUUCACUUAGUGUGUGCAUGGGCACGAGUGUUUGUGUGUACUUAUCCAAGGCCUAUACAGGGGGCUUAGUAUAAUUCCCCCCUCUUGGGUACACCUGCCCUGUAUUUGAGAACCCUCCCUUUUGUACCGAUUUGUGUGAGUGUGUAUGUGAGUGUGAGUGUGUGUGUGCAUUGUGGUGGGAAAUAUUUUAAACUGUCCGGAUUUUUAUAUUUAUAUGUGAAAUUGUUAAUAAAGAGAUUAUUUUGUUACGGAAUCCACGUUUCCUCGUUAAUGCAACAGAACUUGUGUGGGGGUCAAAUCUAAGGUUUUC